rnacentral:rRNA from 1 species
AUAGGCCAUGACAUCUGGAAUCGAGUUGUGGUUUAAACGUAAGGCUUUUGGAUGGGUCUGCGGCGGAUUAGGUUGUUGCCGGUGUAACGUACCAGCAAGCCUGUAAUCCGUACGGGUUGUGGGAGCAAGAGCCCGGAGAUGGAUUCUGAGACACGAAUCCAGGCCCUACGGGGCGCAGCAGGCGCGAAAACUCUACAAUGCAGGCAACUGCGAUAGGGGAACAUCGAGUGGCACCCACCAUGGGUGUCUGUCCAAUCGUCUAAAAAACGAUUGUCAGCAAGGGCCGGGCAAGACCGGUGCCAGCCGCCGCGGUAAUACCGGCGGCUCGAGUGGUGGCCGAUAUUAUUGAGUCUAAAGGGUCCGUAGCCGGCUUUGCAAGUCCCCUGGGAAAUCCAGCGGCUUAACCGUUGGGCUUUCAUGGGAAACUACAUUGCUUGGGACUGGGAGAGGUAGGAGGUACUCAGGGGGUAGGGGUGAAAUCCUGUAAUCCUUUGGGGACCACCGGUGGCGAAGGCGUCCUACCAGAACAGGUCCGACGGUGAGGGACGAAAGCUAGGGGCACGA